UGGGGAAUAUUGGACAAUGGGCGCAAGCCUGAUCCAGCCAUGCCGCGUGUGUGAAGAAGGCCUUUUGGUUGUAAAGCACUUUAAGCGAGGAGGAGGCUACUUGGAUUAAUACUCUAAGAUAGUGGACGUUACUCGCAGAAUAAGCACCGGCUAACUCUGUGCCAGCAGCCGCGGUAAUACAGAGGGUGCGAGCGUUAAUCGGAUUUACUGGGCGUAAAGCGUGCGUAGGCGGCUUCUUAAGUCGGAUGUGAAAUCCCUGAGCUUAACUUAGGAAAUGGAAUCGAUAACGGGAAGCUAAAGUAAGGGAGAGGAUGGGAGAAUUCCAGGGGGAGGGGUGAAAUGCGGAGAGAAUCGGAGGAAUACCGAAGGCGAAGGCAGCCAUCUGGCCUAAUACUGACGCUGAGGUACGAAAGCAUGGGGAGCAAACAGG
rnacentral:rRNA from 1 species